UCUGUACAAUUUCAGCAGGGGAUACAUAUUGUCACGUUAUUUUUGGAUGCUGGGCUUUGCAGUGAUUUUUCAUUCUCCUUUAAUCAGAGGCAUGGACACAUUCUUCCACAGAACAAUGUAACGACAACAGGAAUAAGAAACAAAAUAAUGACAAUGUAAAAUAAAUUUUAAUUGAGCCAGAAAUAUGGUUCA
rnacentral:lncRNA from 1 species